rnacentral:rRNA from 1 species
CAGUAGCCGCGGUAAUACGAGGGGGGCAAGCGUUGUUCGGAAUUAUUGGGCGUAAAGGGCGCGUAGGCGGUUUGACAAGUUUGGUGUGAAAUCUAUGGGCUCAACCCAUAGCCUGCAUCGAAAACUGUCGGGCUUGAGUAUGGGAGAGGUGAGUGGAAUUUCCGGUGUAGCGGUGAAAUGCGUAGAUAUCGGAAGGAACACCUGUGGCGAAAGCGGCUCACUGGACCAUUACUGACGCUGAGGCGCGAAAGCUAGGGGAGCAAACAGGAUUAGAUACCCGAGUAGUCCCUGUCUCUUAUAC